GAGGAGUAGCUCUCAAAUCCAAGUCAACUUUAAGAAGGAAAAGCAUGUCUAAACCAAAGAUCACUAGAAGUUAAACGUCUUUCACAGAAAAGAGGGAAUGCAGUGUCACUUUAGCAAACACACCCACCUAUCUACAAUUUUCUUUUCUUUGAAAGUACAUACUAUAAAUUUUCUACUUAUUUUCUAUUGCAAAUUGAUGAUAAGUGGUUUUGUCGUAUAGUACAGUCACUACUCUUUUGCUCCUAUCCUAUCCCAAUCCCCCACCCCACAUGAAUACGCACUUAUCACUUAUCGUUUGAUCAGAGCACACAGAAACCAACCCUUCCCAUACCUCAAAAGUCUCAAAACCCUAUCCACUCCAUAGAAAAUACUAGUAGUACAAUUAUUGUGCAUAUAUUUUUCAUAUUUUAGUUCACUCCACUCUACUAAAAAUUCACAAAUCAAUGACUUCAAUUUUGUUUCUUCUUAUAUUAUCAUUAUCAUAUAGCUAACUUUUUCUAUGACAUAAACUAACAUUUUA
rnacentral:lncRNA from 1 species